rnacentral:rRNA from 1 species
GUCUACGGCCAUACCACCCUGAACGCGCCCGAUCUCGUCUGAUCUCGGAAGCUAAGCAGGGUCGGGCCCGGUUAGUACUUGGAUGGGACCGCCUGGGAAUACCGGGUGCUGUAGGCU